rnacentral:tRNA from 1 species
UCUGAUUUAACAUAUAUUUAAUGUGAGAGAUUGUAAAUCUCUUUAAAGUAAAAUUGCUAAUCAGGA